GUAGGUGGCAAGCGUUGUCCGGAAUUAUUGGGCGUAAAGCGCGCGCAGGUGGCUCUUUAAGUCUGAUGUGAAAGCCCCCGGCUCAACCGGGGAGGGUCAUUGGAAACUGGGGAACUUGAGUGCAGGAGAGGAAAGUGGAAUUCCACGUGUAGCGGUGAAAUGCGUAGAUAUAUGGAGGAACACCAGUGGCGAAGGCGACUUUCUGGCCUGUAACUGACACUGAGGCGCGAAAGCGUGGGGAGCAAACAGGGAUUAGAUACCCUGGUAGUCCACGCCGUAAACGAUGAGUGCUAAGUGUUGGGGGGGUUUCCCGCCCCUCAGUGCUGCAGCUAACGCAUUAAGCACUCCGCCUGGGGAUACGGUCGCAAGACUG
rnacentral:rRNA from 1 species